rnacentral:rRNA from 1 species
AACGAACGCUGGCGGCAGGCCUAACACAUGCAAGUCGAACGCACCGCAAGGUGAGUGGCGCACGGGUGAGUAACACGUGGGAAUGUACCCUUUGGUUCGGAAUAACGUCUGGAAACGGACGCUAAUACCGGAUGAGCCCUGCGGGGGAAAGAUUUAUCGCCAAAGGAGCAGCCCGCGUCUGAUUAGCUAGUUGGUGGGGUAAAGGCCUACCAAGGCGACGAUCAGUAGCUGGUCUGAGAGGAUGAUCAGCCACACUGGGACUGAGACACGGCCCAGACUCCUACGGGAGGCAGCAGUGGGGAAUAUUGGACAAUGGGCGGAAGCCUGAUCCAGCCAUGCCGCGUGAGUGAUGAAGGCCUUCGGGUUGUAAAGCUCUUUCGCACGCGACGACGAUGUCGGUAGCGUGAGGAGAAGCCCCGGCUAACUUCGUGCCAGCAGCCGCCGUAAAAC